UCAUCCCCUUCUACACCAGCAGCCGCCGCCCCCGCCCCGCACCCCUUGCCCUCCCUCCCUACCUUUUCCCAGCCGAGCGCCCCAUCCACCUAAUACAAAGGGCAACGCCGCGGCUGGGCAGUCCAGGAGGCGAGCGAGGCAGCGAGCAAAGUUUUUCAUGGAUCGAUCGAUACAUGUGUGAUUGUGUUUGCCUCUUCCUCAGCUGGCUGAUCGAGCGUCCUCUACGUGCCCUCCCUCAGCAGCUCGUCGCCGCAGGCAGGUAUCCACACGUGAUGCCUAUGUGCUGCACGCCAUUUCUCUAUGCAGGUGCCGCCAUGGCCGUGUCAUGGAGCUCGCCGCCGCGCCUUCCAACGACGCCCUGCGUCCAGGCAUGGCGAGGGCGCUCGAUGGCAGGAACGGCCGCAUCAAGGAGGCAGCUAGGGACGGUGGCUCCAGGGCUCUACACGCCGUUGCCAGCCACGGGAAGAUGUCGGUGUGUGUUUACCUGCUCGAGAAGCAUGUUCAACGAAAAUGUCAAUGAACCUUUGGCCAUAGCUUCUUCCUCUUCUCACAACAAGUGAGUUCUCUCUGCACUAGCAUUAGUGCUAUCAGUAAUCACCGCUCUAGAAUCCUGAAUAUAUUUCUAUAUGAUAUCCAGCCGGUAAUCGUGCAGGGUUUUGUCUAAAGUUUUUUCUUUUACAAUUUGCAAUGUACAAAGUUUGAAUAUUACAGAAACUGCUGGCAUCUAAUUUUCCAUCAUAUUAUAUUUUACGCAUAAGUUUUGUAUCUCCUUUCUAAUGAGUAAAUGGUGAAUAGAUCCUUUUUGUGAAUUAAACAUAAUUCAGAGAUGAUAAUGACUAUGUAGCUUGCAUUGCAUGCAUGUAUGGUGGUGUAUCUAUUGAGCUGGAGAAUAUUUUAGUAUUCAUUCACUUGCAGCGAUGGCAAUGACCAACACAGUUUUUUCGUUUUCUGUUUCGUUCCUACGUUCUGGUUGGUACCGGUGUAGAUUUUCUUCCUUAAUAAAAUACUCCCUCCGUCCGGAAAUACUUGUCAUCGAAAUGAAUAAAAAGAGAUGUAUCUAGACAUAUUUUAGUUCUAGAUACAUCCCUUUUUGUCCAUUUUGAUGACAAGUAUUUUCGGACGGAGGGAGUACAUAGAAGUAGAUCGGAUUGGUCACAAAUAUCUUACUACUUCAGCAGCAGUUAUGUUUUUCCAACUGAAAUCAUUUUCCUUGCUAGGCACUAGCUAUACCUGAAAACAGGUAAGAGACAUGUUGUUGGCAACUCACCCUUAGUUACAGUUGAGGUACUUGCACAAAAGACGUGUGAAAAUGUUUGAUUUUAACAUUGUUUUACCAUAUGCUUUGAUUUCAUCGGGAAAGAGGAGAAGACGAGAGGAAAAGAGUCCCUAAGGGUAAGUAUGGCCGAGCACAACAGGUUGAAACAAAAAUACUGAGAUGGUGUUGAGAACAGAAAAUAGGAGAAAUACUCCAAUGUUUUACACAACAUGUUGUGACACAUGCACACGACAUAGAUAUUUUAAUCAAUAUCUCAUUUAAUGAACUAAUCAAGAAAGAAAAAAAAUAGAUUGACUCAUGAUGACAAAUAUGUUCGUCUUGAUUUGUACUAUCAAUUUUUAUCGCAACACAGUCAUAAGUCGCAUGUGACGUUCACAUUGUGAAUUGAAAUGAUGUUUUGAUUAGUGUCUUAGUUUGUUGUUUCAUGGUAGCACGGGCAUUCACCUGUGUUAGUUUUUCAUCUUGAAUGAAAGUAACUUUGUGUUAUAAUUGAUUGAGCAUAUGAAUUUAUGAAGUAUUGGUUGUGUAUGCUAAUUCUGACGGAUGGAAUCCUUUGCUUUCUAGCAUCGUGCACUAAUAUCUCUACCCCUAAUGUCUCAGUUGGUAGAAUAGGUUCCACGAAUUUUUUUUGUCCCACCACUUUCGUCUAGUUUUUUCUUUGUUUUUUUGUCCCCCACCCCACCCCACCCCAUGCAAGCACCCCCAAAAAAACCCGCACAAACACCGCUCCUAUCGAUCCCCUGGACGCACGAGAUCGCCGCCGCCGACCUCACAGAGAAGAUGCCACCGAAUCUUGUACACGUACGGGAUCGCCGGAUCCCUGGAACGCCGCUGAUCUAUUCACUACGUCGACGGAAACCAAGCGCUACACUAGAAACCAGGCCGAUCCCAGAGCCAGAAGAAGAAGGAGAAGAGGGUGUCCAUGGCUCAUCAGGCGUCGGCGGGCAAUGAUGACACGCGGCUGCGAAGGUGUUCGUGGAUGGCCUGGCGUGGAAGAUGAGCAAGGAGGGCGUGCGCGACCAGUUCGAGCUCUUCGGCGAGAUCCUCGAGGCCGUCGUCAUCGCCAACAAGGGCACCGACAUAUCCAAGGGCCGCGGAUUCGUGAGUACCCACCCAAACAAUUCUCUCUUCCCCUCAUCGUCAAUUCAUGUUCAGUAGUUAAUUCUCUUGUUUAAUUCAGCCCUGUUAGUUGAUGCUAUGCCUAGAUGGAUGUUUGGCAGGUUACGUUUUGGGAGGCGGAGGCGGCCAUUAGGGCGUGCUUGGGUCCGUACCGGUGAUUGACGACCGAAGGACCAACUGCAACCUUGCCCGCCUCAGCGUCCAAAGGUCCAAGGCCCCACAACCAACUGCCUCUGCAUCCAUAUGCUGCAAUCAAGUUACCAAAUCUGAAGCAUUUUAGCAAGGCAACGGUACAUGUGCUCUUUUGGUGGAAGAUGAAGCUUUUGUUGGUAAUGUGAUGUUUUUUCUGACGAAGACUGACAAUUAAUUCAAAAGACUGACAAUUAACCAUGGGAAAGUAGUGCAUCAUGGAAGAUUUGUAGUAUGCUGUAACGCUCUCGAUGCGGCUAUAUCUCCCACGUGUCGAAGCACGACUUAGAGGCAUAACCGCAUUGAAAGCAAUGUCACAAGUGAGGUAAUCUUCACACAAUCCAUGUAAUA